rnacentral:rRNA from 1 species
CCUACGGGCAUAACUCCGUGCCAGCAGCCGCGGUAAUACGGAGGGUGCAAGCGUUGUUCGGAAUUAUUGGGCGUAAAGCGCGUGCAGGCGGCCAUUUAAGUCUGAUGUGAAAGCCCCGGGCUCAACCUGGGAAGUGCAUCGGAUACUGGGUGGCUUGAGUACGGGAGAGGGAAGCGGAAUUCCGAGUGUAGGGGUGAAAUCCGUAGAUAUUCGGAGGAACACCAGUGGCGAAGGCGGCUUCCUGGACCGAUACUGACACUGAGACGCGAAAGCGUGGGGAGCAAACAGGAUUAGAUACCCUGGUAGUCCACGCCGUAAACGAUGGGUACUAGGUGUCGCGGGUAUUGACCCCUGCGGUGCCGAAGCUAACGCAUUAAGUACCCCGCCUGGGGAGUACGGCCGCAAGGCUAAAACUCAAAGGAAUUGACGGA